UAGGUGCAUUUUAUAUACGUGCACAAUAAUAUAUAAUCAGCUAUUGUUUAGUGUAUUAUGUGUACAGGAUCCCUGAUUCGCGGAACGGUUCGUGACUGUAUAUCUUGAGUACGGUAUUUGGGUCCAGCUGGGUCAUCCAGUACAAAACCUUACUGCGCGAAGCACUUACGCUUAAAUUCUUAAGAUUAGACUUUCCCAAGAAGAUGACCCUCGUCAUUUUUGUCAUUCCUGCGGCCGAUUUAAUCAUGAAUAUCAGUACUGCUGUAACACAGGUUACUGUCGACAGGCCUAGAAAUCACGGAAAGGAAUCGGACUUGUUUAGUUUGUUAAGACAACAACCAAAGGCCGCAGUCUCUUGACCAAAUGGGUUUGGAUAACUGAUGCUGUAAAUGUCCAGAGUCGGAGGAUAAUGCUGUGGGGUCAGUGAGUCAGCAGAAGCUGGGAAGCUGUUCAGGAGGAACACGGGUAGAAGAAUGGUUGUAAUGGACAGUUUCCAUACAAAAGUCAUGUGAUCAGUUCCAAAACAGUCUUUGAUUUGAGGAAACUAAGUGAUCCUCUGGGUAAAAUCAUUGCAAGUUGAUCUCUUUGGGGUUGACAUGAAGACAUAGAAUUUUCUUGGUGAUGUGGAUUAAAGAAGUUUAACAAAUGGAUUGACAAAUAAUGAUUUUUAUAUACUUUGUAGCAGCACUUUUAUCAGUAUUUCAUCUAGCUGAGUGCUUUUUUUAAUAAAAAAAUAAAAC